CCCAGACUCCUACGGGAGGCAGCAGUGGGGGAUAUUGCACAAUGGGGGGAACCCUGAUGCAGCGACGCCGCGUGGGUGAAGGAGCGUUUCGGCGCGUAAAGCCCUCUCGGCAGGGAAGAAGGAGGACGGUACCUGACUAAGAAGCCCCGGCUAACUACGUGCCAGCAGCCGCGGUAAUACGUAGGGGGCAAGCGUUAUCCGGAUUUACUGGGUGUAAAGGGGGCGCAGACGGCAGCGCAAGCCAGGAGUGAAAGCCCGGGGCUCAACCCCGGGACUGCAUUUGGAACUGUGUGGCUGGAGUGUCGGAGAGGCAGGCGGAAUUCCUAGUGUAGCGGUGAAAUGCGUAGAUAUUAGGAGGAACACCAGUGGCGAAGGCGGCCUGCUGGACGAUGACUGACGUUGAGGCUCGAAAGCGUGGGGAGCAAACAGGAUUAGAUACCCGGGUAA
rnacentral:rRNA from 1 species